CAUAAAAGCCAAAAUAGCCAACAGAAAGAAUAGGGAAGCGAAAUCUGGCGACCAACAGGAAGUAGGAAAAGAGCAGAAAGGGUGGAUAAAAGGCCAGAAGUCUUCAGAGCGGUCCGCAGCGGUAGGACUUCAGUCCUCGGGCCGGCAGGGGGCGCGCGCUCCUCCCCACGGGCCCCGCCCCCUCCCCACAGGCCCCGCCCCGCCGCGCAUGCGCUUCCUGCCUCUCCUCUUCUGAGACGCUGUUGCUGUCUCUGCCCAUUAGCUGCUUCCCUUCCUCCUCUACUGGCGGUGGCCGGCGGCUGGGGCGGCUUCUUUCUGCUCUCCUGGAGGCGGAGAGAGCUGGACGCGAGGAUCAGCCGGCCGCGCGGCAGCAUCGCGGAGGCCGCAGUACGCCGGGCCGCGGUCAGGGUGGACUCCCAGGUUGGGCGAGUUCCCGCGCGCGCGCGCGGUGGAGGCCAUGUAAGCUCCUGGGCUGGCGGCACGCCACCGGGGUCAGCGCGGGUGGGCAAUUUGCUGAGUGCCAGCCGUUUGCUUGCUUGGAUCCGGAGCGGUGGUGGCGGUAGCGAUUAGUCGCAGGCCCCCGGCGGUGUAGAUGGCCAGGAGCGUCGGAGGAAGCAGCUGUCCCAGACCUGGACUUCAAGCUGCAGGUCUUCAUCAUGGGCUUCCGCGGGGUGGGAAGACCAGCCUGAGGAGUCAUUUCACAGAGGACACCUUCUGGAGGCCUGCAAGUCCACCGUAUUUGUACUGCAUGUACACAUUUUGUAUUGCUGGGAAACGUUUUGGAUUGUCUUCCUUUGGAUCAAUGUGACACAAUAUUCACUUAGGGAAAAUAAUGUUGCUACACGGAAAUCAAUCUUCUAAGAAGAUAAUCUAAAUCUCAGAGUACAGUCUUCUAUGGACAGAUUCAACUCUUUUUGACCAGACUUUUCCUUCUAUCUGAAAAAUCAGUUCACAUCUGCAGAGUUUGAUUUGGGCUUCGUUCUGUCCAUUGGGAUGUUUUAGAAAAGGCCCACCCCUACACAUG